GCGCCGACGCCCGCUGCGCAGAGCGCGACCACGAGCGACGGCGUGACGAGCGAAAACAGCGCCACACCGAAGAUCGCGCCGGCGACGGCGCCGAUCGUCGUGCCGUGUCUCGCAUGCUGCAUCGCAUCGAGGGGACGCGUGGCCGCGUGCUGGGCGCGGGACAGACGCUCGGACCAUCGCGGCGCAUGCUGGCCGCGCGGAUUGACGAAGAACAGACUGACGUCCUCGGCGACGAAACCGCUGUCGAGAAGCCGCUGGGUGGCGGCCUCGGCGGCGCGCUGCGUCGUGAAGCGUGCUGCGACGAUCAAUGACAUGGCGCCCUCCUGAUGGUGGCGUGAAGGCCAUCCGAAUGCCCGUCGCCCGGGCGCGGAUGCGCUCGGCUUGCGGCGCGGGCACGAUGUAUUGGACAGCCGGCGCGCGGCGGAGUGCGGGCGGCAACGGGCUCGCGUGCGGAUUCCGACGCGCUGCUGCUGCGUUUCCGAAGUAUGUCCAAUGCGUCUUCGACGCGUUUUCGACGUGCAAAGGCGAACGGCGGGGCGGGUCGGGGAUAACGGGGUGGGAGCACGAGGGCGGUGUGGGAGAUGGCGAUCGCUUCGUGGUUCCGUUCCCAUCGCGCGCGGCGGGGAGGAUGGCUGAACGGCCGAGUCGACGCGGCCGUGCGAAGCGGCGAUAGUGAAGGCGUAUGCGGGACGGAUCGCGGCCGUCGAGGUGGACGGGUCGGGCGAGAUGCGGGCGUGUGCGGUGUGCUGGCCGGUGCGCUUCGGCGAUCCGUGGGAGGCCGUCGGGGGGCAGGGCGUGCGAUCGCUCAUGCAUCGGUGAGCGUGCGGAGCCGGGUAGGUGCAGAGGAGAGCCGCACGCGGGGCGAGCUCGGGUGGGGGCAAGCGUGCCCAAUCCCGUCCGGGCAGCCCCGGCCGGCCCCAGCCGGGGCUAAAACGCAACCGGACCUACGCGGGCCCAGGCGGCCCAGGCGGACCUAGGCGGACCUAGGCGGACCUAGGCCAAGCGGACUCGACCCCGGACCCAAGCGGGCGGUUCCACGGCGCUCAACCCGCUGCGGCGGUCGUAUCGCGCCGCGCGCGGAUUCUCAGCAGGCUCACGGCCGCCGCGACGGCGGCGAACGAGCUCGCCGCGUAGAGCGCGAUCGUCGGCCCGUGCUGCGGCGCGAUGCCGAAGAUCAGCGCGACGAGCGCGGCGCCGAGCGUUUGUCCGGUGAGCCGGGCGGUGCCGAGCAUCCCGCUUGCGCCGCCCGCGCGCUCGCGCGGCGCGGACGACAGGAUCGCGCGGUUGUUCGGCGACUGGAAGAGCCCGAAGCCCGCGCCGCACAGCGCCAUCCGCCACAUGAUGUCGACGGGCGUCGGGUGCGCACCGAUCGUCGCGAGCGCGAACAGGCCGGAUGCGAACAGGGCGAGGCCGAUGCCGCCCAGCGCGCCCGCCGAAUAGCGGUCGGACAGCACGCCCGCGAGCGGCGCCGCGACGACGAUCACGAGCGGCCACGGCGUCAUGUAGAGCCCCGUCUGGACCUGCGAGAAGCCGAGCGUGUUCUGUAGCCAGAACGGCAGCGCGACGAACGCGAGCAUCUGCGAUGUGAACGACGCGACCGAUGUGCCGAUCGACAGCGCGAAGAUCGGAACGCGCAUCAGGUCGACGGGCAACAGCGGCGCGGGCUGCGUCAACUGGCGCUUGACGAAGAAGUAGCCGAUCACGGCGGCCACGAGCGCGGUGAGCGCGACGCUCGCGCGAUUCCCGCCGUGGCCGAGCCCGUCGACGGACACGAUCAACAGCCCGAACACGCAGGCGUUCAUCACGGCGCCGAUGAAAUCGUACGGCGCGCUGCGGCCCGGAUUCGCCGGCAGCGCGCGCAGGCUGCCGCACACGGCGGCGACGCCGAUCGGCACGUUGAUCGCGAAGAGCCACGGCCACGGCGCGACGGCGAGCACCGCGGACGCGACGGUCGGCCCGACCGCCGACGACAGUGCGACGACCAUUGCGUUGAUCGCGACGCCGCGCCCGAGUUGCGAAGACGGAUAGAUCAUCCGCACGAGCGCGGUAUUCACGCUCAUGAUGCCGGCCGCGCCGAAGCCCUGGAUCACGCGCAGCGUCGCGAGCGCGGGCAGCGUGCCCGACAGCGCGCAGCCGAGCGACGCCGCCGUGAAGAGCAUGAGCCCCGCGAUGUAGACGCGCCGGUAGCCGAUGCGGUCCCCGAGCGAGGCGAGCGGCAGCAGCGAGAUCGUGACGGCGAGUUGGUACGCGUUGACGAUCCAGAUCGACGCGGCGUCGGAGGCGCGCAGAUCGCGGGCGAUCGUCGGCAGCGCGACGUUCGCGAUCGCGCCGUCGAGCACGGCGAGCGUGAUGCCCAGCGCGACGCAGACGAUCGCCCAGUAGCGUUGCGGGAACGGCAGUCCGGAGUCGGCGUUCAUGGCGGAGGCGGUGGCGAGGCGAGAAGCUGGGCGGCGAGUCCGUUGCGCACGCAACCGCCGGCAUGCGCGGGCGAGCCGUGCGGCCGGCGGCGAGGGCCGGGCGCAGCGCCCGGCCGGGGCGGAUUACUUCAGUUCCUUCAAUUCGUAGAGACCGGUGUAGGUUGCCGAAUCGAUUUCGUUCAGAUGGAUCAUGAAGCGGGCGACCGCGUUGGUGGUCUCCUUCGUGACGGGCAGCGAAUCGACCUUCAGCGCGUGCAGCCGGAAGAUGUAGCGAUGCGGCUUGUCGCCGCGCGGCGGCGCGGCGCCGCCGAAGCCUUCGUCGCCGUAGUCGUUGCGCACCUGCACGGCGCCGGCGGGCAGCGCCGCGCUACCCGCCGCGCCCGCGUCCUGCGGCAGGCCCGCCGUGUCGACCGGGAUGUUGACGACGGCCCAGUGCCAGAAGCCGCUGCCCGUCGGCGCAUCGGGAUCGUAGACGGUGAGCGCGAGGCUCUUCGCAUCGGCGGGCACGCCUUCCCAAUGGAGCGCGGGCGAGCGGUUGCCGCCGUCGACGCCGAAGCCUUCGUG
rnacentral:rRNA from 1 species